rnacentral:rRNA from 1 species
CCUACGGGGGGCAGCAGUGAGGAAUAUUGGUCAAUGGACGAGCGUCUGAACCAGCCAAGUAGCGUGAAGGAAGACUGCCCUAUGGGUUGUAAACUUCUUUUAUAUGGGAGUAAAACAGGGUAUGCAUAGCCUCAUGUAUGUACCAUAUGAAAAAGGAACGGCUAACUCCGUGCCAUGAGCCGCGGUAAAUCUGAGGAACCGAGCGUUAUCCGGAUUUAUUGGGGUUAAAGGGAGCGGAGGUGGAUAGUCAAGUCAGUUGUUAAAGUUUGGGGCUCAACCGUAAAAUUGCAGUUGAAACUGGCAUUCUUGAGUACAGUAGAGGUGUGCGGAAUUCGUGGUGUAGCGGUGAAAUGCUUAGAUAUCACGAAGAACUCCGAUUGCGAAGGCAGCUCACUGGACUGCAACUGACACUGAUGCUCGAAAGUGUGGGUAUCAAACAGGAUUAGAUACCCUAGUAGUC